rnacentral:rRNA from 1 species
CGAGUUUACAACUCCCAAACCCCUGUGAACAUACCUUAAUGUUGCCUCGGCGGAUCAGCCCGCGCCCCGUAAAACGGGACGGCCCGCCAGAGGACCCAAACUCUAAUGUUUCUUAUUGUAACUUCUGAGUAAAACAAACAAAUAAAUCAAAACUUUCAACAACGGAUCUCUUGGUUCUGGCAUCGAUGAAGAACGCAGCAAAAUGCGAUAAGUAAUGUGAAUUGCAGAAUUCAGUGAAUCAUCGAAUCUUUGAACGCACAUUGCGCCCGCUGGUAUUCCGGCGGGCAUGCCUGUUCGAGCGUCAUUUCAACCCUCAAGCCCCCGGGUUUGGUGUUGGGGAUCGGCUCUGCCUUCUGGCGGUGCCGCCCCCGAAAUACAUUGGCGGUCUCGCUGCAGCCUCCAUUGCGUAGUAGCUAACACCUCGCAACUGGAACGCGGCGCGGCCAUGCCGUAAAACCCCAACUUCUGAAUGUUGACCUCGGAUCAGGUAGGAAUACCCGCUGAACUUAAGCAUA